rnacentral:rRNA from 1 species
AUACGUAGGUGACAAGCGUUAUCCGGAUUUACUGGGCGUAAAGGGCGUGUAGGCGGUCUUGCAGGUCAGAAGUGAAAUUCCUGAGCUCAACUCGGGCGCUGCUUCUGAAACUGCAGGACUUGAGUGAUGGAGGGGAUAGCGGAAUUCCUAGUGGAGCGGUAAAAUGUGCAGAUAUUAGGAAGAACACCGGUGGCGAAGGAGGCUAACUGGACAGUAACUGACGCUGAGGCGCGGAAGCGUGGGGAGCAAACAGGAUUAGAUACCCUGGUAGUCCACGCUGUAAACGAUGAAUACUAGGUGUAGGGGGUAUCGACGCCCUCUGUGCCACAGUUAACACAAUAAGUAUUCCGCCUGGGGAGUACGGCCGCAAGGUUGAAACUCAAAUGAAUUGACGGGG